rnacentral:misc_RNA from 1 species
UAACAAUAGCAUCUUCUGGCUGAUGUUUAAUAAGUUGUUUAUGGUCAUUAUGUAGCUUAUAUCUGCAUAAUUUAUCUCUUAUUCAAGGGGGCAUUCCCUGUCCCUUUGUAUUUAUCCUUUCCCACUGUUUUUUAGCAUUUUCAAUAUGGCUUUGAGUCUACAUGGGAUAGGCUUGGGUGCAAAAUCAUUUUUUAAGGUACGAAUCAUUGUAGCAAGUUGACACAAAGAAAAUAAUAUUUGUAAUAUGUCAUGUCUUAGAUAUAAAAUCUUGAUACUAAUUAAACAGCCAGUGAG